GACGAACGCUGGCGGCGUGCUUAACACAUGCAAGUCGAACGGAAAGGCCCUGCUUUUGUGGGGUGCUCGAGUGGCGAACGGGUGAGUAACACGAGAGUAACCUGCACUUGACUUUGGGAUAACUUCAGGAAACUGGGGCUAAUACCGGAUAGGAGCUCCUGCUGCAUGGUGGGGGUUGGAUAGUUUCGGCGGUUGGGGAUGGACUCGCGGCUUAUCAGCUUGUUGGUGGGGUAGUGGCUUACCAAGGCUUUGACGGGUAGCCGGCCUGAGAGUGUGACCGGCCACAUUGGGACUGAGAUGCGGCCCAGACUCCUACGGGAGACAGCAGUGGGGAAUAUUGCACAAUGGGCGGAAGCCUGAUGCAGCAACGCCGCGUGCGGGAUGACGGCCUUCGGGUUGUAAACCGCAUUCACCUGUGACGAAGCGUGAGUGACGGUAAUGGGUAAAGAAGCACCGGCUAACUACGUG
rnacentral:rRNA from 1 species